CUGUGGCUCAGUGGUAGAGCACCUGCUUGACAAGUAGAAGGGCCCAAAUUCAAACAUCAGCAUCUUUGGGUAAAAGG
rnacentral:tRNA from 1 species